CCACAUUCAAUCCCGAUCCCGCUUGUAAAAUAAAUUAGCAUAAGAUCUUGAGUUGUGUUAUGUUUUCAGAUUUUACAAGACAAGCAUAAAUGAAUUUCAUGCACUUAUAUAUAUAUAUGUAAAGUAGGUAAAGUUGAUCAGACUUGUAAAAUGUCAUCCAGAUCGACAACUAGGUCAAUGACUUGUGAUGAGAAAACUAGAAAA